rnacentral:rRNA from 1 species
UACAGAGGUCCCGAGCGUUGUUCGGAUUCACUGGGCGUAAAGGGUGCGUAGGUGGCAUAGAAAGUUUGAUGUGAAAGCUCAGGGCUUAACCCUGAAAUGGCAUUGAAUACUGCUGUGCUGGAGGGUUGGAGGGGGGACUGGAAUUCUUGGUGUAGCAGUGAAAUGCGUAGAUAUCAAGAGGAACACCAGUGGCGAAGGCGAGUCCCUGGACAACACCUGACACUGAGGCACGAAAGCCGGGGGAGCAAACAGG